GACGAACGCUGGCGGCGUGCCUAAUACAUGCAAGUAGAACGCUGAAGAGAGGAGCUUGCUCUUCUUGGAUGAGUUGCGAACGGGUGAGUAACGCGUAGGUAACCUGCCUUGUAGCGGGGGAUAACUAUUGGAAACGAUAGCUAAUACCGCAUAACAAUGGAUGACUCAUGUCAUUUAUUUGAAAGGGGCAAAUGCUCCACUACAAGAUGGACCUGCGUUGUAUUAGCUAGUAGGUGAGGUAACGGCUCACCUAGGCGACGAUACAUAGCCGACCUGAGGGGGUGAUCGGCCACACUGGGACUGAGACACGGCCCAGACUGCUACGGGAGGCAGCAGUAGGGAAUCUUCGGCAAUGGGGGCAACCCUGACCGAGCAACGCCGCGUGAGUGAAGAAGGUUUUCGGAUCGUAAAGCUCUGUUGUAAGUCAAGAACGAGUGCGAGAGUGGAAAGUUCACACUGUGACGGUAGCUUACCAGAAAGGGACGGCUAACUACGUGCCAGCCGCCGCGGUAA
rnacentral:rRNA from 1 species